GGGCCCUUGAUGUCGCAUGAGAUAAGAUGCGACACCUCUUCAUCAGGCUUGAGAUAUUGUUUUUUCUAUCUGUAGGUUCCUUUGGUCUCAUCUUGGAUAGAUCUAUUGCAAUAUGUGUACUUGAAUUUCACAUAAUUACAUAUCAUAGACUCGGUAAUAUCCUCUAGAUGAAGAUAUGAAGGAGUUUCUCUAAAGUUGCCAUGCUACACAGACUUUGUUUCAUUAACUCAUUUAGAAUGAAUUGUUGGUCAGAGCUAAUUGAAUCUGAAUGUUCUUCAGUCAUGCAUAAUUUUUUAAUCUAAGUAUCAUUAAAUUACUUCAGUCCAAAUUCUACUGUUCAUGUUUCACAUUGACUUCGGAUUGGAAAUAGACAUAGUUUACUUGUUCCAUUUUUCACACACAACACAAGAAGUGAAUCACUUUCAACCUUAGUCAAAUUUGGAAGUUCUUCUUGGGUUCUUGGUUACAUUUCUUUGUAGAACAAUUCUGUAGGUAGAGAGAGAGUGAUGGCCUUUUUUUCAUCUGAAACUAGAGUAACAUGUAAUGUGGACUGUGAACAUCAAUGACGAGGUUAAGUGAACAUCAAUGAUUUAGGAUUAAUAAUAUGAAUGUGAUGGUGUUAAGUGAUUAGAAGUGGGAAAAAGGUCAGCCGCUUGUGUCCUCUUUCAUCUUUAUUUAUGUUCACAUCAUCAUAUGAUGUGAUGGUUGGUCCAAGUAUCUAAUCUUUUUCUUUCCUUCAUGGCACAGUCUCAAGUUCCUUUGGAAUAUCACACACAGCUCUUUCAAUGGUCCAUCAGCCAACAAUCAGCAAGAAACCUGUUGAUAGUGUCAUGUAAAGCAAUUGGCAACCUGUUGAUAGUGUCAUGUACAACAGGAGUGCAUUUGGAAUCUAAAAAAGAAGGAUGAAUAACCUGAUGUCAUAUUGCAUCUCAAACGGUUGGUAAAACUCAUCUGUCAAAUCAUAUAUAUAUAUAUAUAUAUAUAUAUAUAUAUAUAUAUAUAUAUAUAUAUAUAUNN
rnacentral:lncRNA from 1 species